AAAUCUGUAGCUCAGGUGGAUGGAGUGCUGCACUGGAAUCGCAGGGCCGCAGGUUCGAUUCCUGCCAGAGGGC